UUGUAGGCUAUGUAAUUGUCAUGAGACUGCUCUUUUUCCUUCCAAAAUGCCCUUUUUCCUCCCCUCUCUGUCACUACACACCCUUUGACAGCUACUUUCAGCCAGAAAGGGAGACAAAACACAAAAGCCUUUGUAUGAGAUCUGUCUUUACCAACAUGGUUUCAUGGUCAACCCACACUAGUCAAGAGCAUUAAUGUUUUUAACCAAAAAGAUUUUAAUACAGCCAUGUAAAUGAUUUAUGAUUAUUUUACCCUUACCCUUGCAAACCCAACAUCUAAUCUUUCCUUAAUCUUGGUGACUUAUCACUACCCCACCUAACCAGAAUAUAAACAAAUUCUUCAGCAAAACAAACAUCAAGCAAUAUCGUUUGCCCUGUCUGCAUUUUUAGGGCUCUGGUAGAAGCCUGUGAAUAAUUACACCUCAUUUCCUCAUUACCUGUCUAUAAAGAUAGUACGCAAACUACAAAAAUAUUCACAUUUCCCCAUCGAACUAAAGACAAGAUGAGAAUGUCCUCGGCCAAAGCAAGGUUAUGGAUUGUCUGCUAGUCUGAUGUUAAAAUACUAGGUUUUGACAACUGCACCUGAAAUUUAUAGGCAUAAAGAAAAGCUGUAUGAUCUUGUCUGGGAUGAAGGAAACAUGUGACUUCAAUGUUUUGCUCUUAAUUUCCUUCUGACUUUAAACUGUAAUAAACUGUCCUAGCAUUCUUUUUUUCUCCUUGUGUCUCAGUAUGAUCUCAGAACACACCCUUGGUCAGGAUCAGGCUGAUUAACUUUUUCCUUCCCUCCUCCUUCUCUGCUCUGUACAUAAGCUGGCCUCUAAACUUUGAGAGACAGCUGGUGUAACAGUUAUGCUUUUGUUUAGAAAAUGUGAUCUGAAGAUUCUUCAAGUAUGUAAUAAACUAAUUUCUAACAAUUUGGUGCUAUGAGUGACUUGGAUGGCACAUUAUUUUAUGUCAUUGUUUUAAGAACAUAAAGAAAAUUUGGUGAAAAAAAUUCAUUUCCUUGUAAAAUAGUAGAGAAGGAGUCAGUAUAAGAUCUAUCCUCUUAUGGAUUGAAAGAAGACUGUAUGGUUGCUGUAUACUGUAGCCAAGCAUCAAGCCAGGUUAUCCUGUUACAGCACCAUGACCAGUGAAGACCUAAAUCCAGUGAAUUAAGGGAAAUAUUCCUGAAAGCCUCCUAACAAAAGUGCCUGACUGGACUGAGCUUGAAUUGAAGGAUAUAAAGAAGUAAAUGAGUAAAACAAAAAAUGAGGAGCAAAUUAGUAAGUGUGUACAGAAAGAAAUGUGAAUCAGCAGCAUAUUUUUGUGAACCAUUUGAGAGCCUAUCUGUGCCACUCUGACAAUUACACUAAUGAGAAUACUGACUAGUCUGAGGCAAGGCCUUUCUUUACACAACUGGUUGAUUCUUUAGUGCAUGCUCUCUAUCAGGCACUAGUAACUACAAUGCGAAAUGGGUUACAGUUCAAAUGGUCAGAGUUCAAGUAAGAAUUUGGUCUUUUUGAUGAUGAUUUUCAACACUCUACUUCAAGUAUUGCUGCUUCUUAUGUGCACAGAGGAAACGGUUAUAAAACUGGUCCCAGUCAGCCAGAGGAGAGUUCAUCAGCUGAGCUGUCUCAGCACCAGUUAUCAUCCAUUGUCAAAGCCAUGCAGGAAGCAGUCCCUGGCAGUCAGCCAGUUGCUAAAAACAUUAGCCCUGCUGCUUUGGCACAUUUAUGCCAUCAGUAAAUAUGUAGAAAACUGUCUUUUUUGCUUUUUUGCCCAGCUGAUAGAUGAUCGACCUCUAACUAGUGAGGAUCAGAACAUACAGUACAUGAGAAAGAUUUAUGGGUGCUUUUGGAUGUCUUGGUAAUAAGGUCACAAAGCCAGUUGUGAAAAAGCACAGCUACGUUGUGAUGGAGCACUAUAUUUAGAACAGGGUGUUACAAAGGGCUCUAUGGUAAAUUUGCCUGCUAGAAGCUCUGCUAUGGAUUUUUAUGUUGCUAUCUCACAAACACUAUAUGAUCUGCUUAAAUGUAACCCUGGACAACAUGAUCAAAUCAUACAUACUGAUAGUACAAUGGCUGCAUUUGAACAGUUGAAAUCAGCUCUGGUAUCUGAUCCAGCUCUAGGCCUUUAUGACCCUAGCAAUCAGUACAUUAUCUUUGUACUUGAGGACUGUGGGUUCAUGACAUCAUGACUAUCUGGCUGGACAGCACCUAAUAACCAUGAAACACUACCCAGUACUGCCUUACCAUGCCCGUUCUCAGCCCAAAAAAGCUGGACUCCUUACCUGACCACACACUCUACACUCUUUAGGUCACCUAUGAGUGGACAAUAUGGUUUUCACCCUCUUGCUGGAACUCUAGGUUCAUGGACCAGUGUCAGAGGACCAUGGUGAAAAAGCAUAAUAAACAGACAUUGGAACCUAAGUAGGAAGGUCCCGGUCAGGUUCUGUUAAUUAAACAUGGACACACAUUUCAAUAUUAAAGUUAUACUGCCACGAAGGAAAAGUGGGUGCAUCAGAGAGAGUGCUCUGAUGUUAGAAUUCAGGGGUCAAACUCAAUGUGAAGCUUCUCUUUACCCUCUUAUGCAUUUAGUGCUCCUCCCUAUCUCCUGAUGUCUAGGGCCUAGUGGUAGGUAUAGGGGAAAAAUGCCAGUAAACUAGGAGGGGGCACAUAUACUCUCACCAUCCACUUUAAUAGGAACACCUGUACACCUGCUUAUUUAUGAUGUCUGUGACUUCAACCGUGGCAUGGUUGUUGGUGCCAGAUGGGAUGGUUUGAGAAUUUCAGAAACUGCGGAUCUCCUGGAAUUUUCACACAUAACACUCUCUAGAGUUUACACAGAAUGGUGCAAAAACAAAAAACAUUAAUUAAGUGACAGUUCUGUGGGUAGAAAUACCUUGUUGAUAAGAGAUAAGAGGAAAAUAGCCAGAUUGGUUCGAGCUGCCAGGAAGGAUAUAGUAACUCACACACACACAGAAGGCACUUUUAUCUUAGCUGUGACUCAGUGGGCAGCAGUGACAUGUUGAGUCUUCUUUGGCCUAUAUCAGAGAUUGUUUUUACACUAAUCCCAUUUAUUUGGAAAAAUGAAUGUUCUCUGUGUUCAUUUUACUUUGUAAGAUUUCUUUUUCACUGACAUAGUAUGGGUUUAUGGUUAUUCAUGUACAGUUAUGUUUUUCAUCCUCUUUAGUUAAAAACAGUUAGGAACUAACUGACUGCUAAUUGAUUACUAUGGCAAUGGGGGCGUGGUCAAGCCUUAGCUGUGGACGGAGAGGAGGCAGGUCGAACCAACAGGUAACACACGAUGAUUCUCACCUGUGUCUUAUUACCGCCAGUCUACUUAUUUGUAACCGAGAGAGAGCCAUAUAGCUGGCAUGUCUCACAAGCUCCACCAGCUAGAUCUAUGGAUCCAUCCAGUCCGCUAUCUUAUAUAUUAUGGUCCACCGUCGCCUCGCACCUGAUGCCGUUUUUGACUGGUCACUUCUCCACAUGAACAGACCGUGGCCAGGUUGUGGGGUGGCCAGGAAUCCUCUAAAACUUUAACCUGCCACUGGAUGUCUCCCCUCUUCUACAUACACAUUAGGAUCUCAAUUCCAUGUAUUAAUAAGCUGUCACUAACAAGGCUUUAUAGCAAUCUUUUAUCACACACCAGCAUUUAGGAAAAUUACUGAAAUAACUAAAUAUGUCCAUUUUGGGUACAUGGCUGUGAGGUUUUUUUUUUUUGUUUGUUUUUUUUUUGUUAACAAGAAAGCUCCUAAAGCUCCUGCUGCUCCAUGUUUCUGUUGGCGAUCAAUCUGCCACAAGCACUGAAAACGAGUUACUGAAUAAAUGUUAUUCUGUGAUGUGUGCUGUGUUAAAUUCAAUUUAAGUCACUCAGGUAAAAACAGAAUAGCUCAAACAUUCUAGUCCUUUGCAAUAACAUCCAGAUGUGAUGGACAACAAAGAUAGGAAGUUAAUGUGUUUUCUGCUCAAUGUGUUUAUCUGUCUCUCCAUUUUUAUCUCCUUAUAAAACCAUUAACUGUCCCUGUGAGUAUGUUAAAAUCUUUCAGACUGUAGAUGUCUAACAAUGAACUAAUUUUGUCAGGCAAUCAGCAAACAGCAUAGACGAGGCAAAAUCCAAACUCAUGAAACCAAGUAACAAAGUCAAAAACCAGAAUAGCAAGGACAAUAACAAAAGGCUUGGUAAAAGGCAGGCAAUGAUACACUGAGUGUUACUUCACAGUGAGUCCUUUAUAUACCGUCAUGGGAAAAAGAAAUGGGAAAAAGAAAAACCACUCUCCUUCAAAUCUGUUUUCAUGUAUCAGGGCCUAAACAAUUGUGUGGUCCUCACCAACUUCUACAAACAAACCCAGGUUUCCCAGGUCCUGUGGCUGCAAAACAAGCCCAAAUUAUCACCCCCACACCACCAUGCUUGACAGUUGGUAAGAGGUGUUGUGGUGAUACGCUGUGUUUAGUUUUCACCAGUGCAUGAUAACCAAACAUCUCCACCUUGGUCUCAUCAGUCCAAAGGAUAUUGUUCCAGAACUUUUGUGAUUUGUUCAAAUGCAAUUUUGCAACCCUAAGUCGUGCUGCCACAUUCUCUUGGAGAGAAGGGGCUUUUUCCUAGCCACCCUUCCAUGACAGCCAUACUUGUUCAGUCCUUUUCUGAUUGUGCUGUCACAGAAGUAAAUAAUCUUGUACAUUUCUUUAGUAACACCUGGCUGCUAAUUACUCUCUUAAUGAUUGUGGAAGUAGGAAGGGUGUACUUAUUUUUUAACCACGUGGUUUCUGAAUGUUGUUUUACUGUAAAUUACUACAUAUUAAAAUCUGUUGUGUUUUGUUGUUGUCACCUGAUGUACUUUGUUUGUUUAUAAACAAGUGGAGAGAGGGAGUGAGUAGAUGGGUCACUCGCUUUCUGUUGACCUAAUCUGUGUGCAUUUUUAUGUCUCCAUUCACCAUCUUUAAGCAAAAUAAACCAUCAUAAAUUGCAUCAAUGCCUCAUAAAUUGCCGCCCCCACCUCGGCUACUCAGACCACAUCUCUGUUAUGCUAAUCCCAGCAUACAGACCGCUAGUCAGACACUCCAAACCAGUUCUGAAGCAGGUGAAAACCUGGCCAGCAGGAGCCUCUGCUCUUCAGGACUGUUUUGAACAAUACUCUUUGCACUAUUGUCACUAGGUUCACUUUUAAACAGAAAUGUGUACUGAUCAGCGCUGCAGUGGGACUUACUAUGCCCAUAGUCUGUCCCAGUAGUCAUUGGACUGUCUUGUGCUGUCUGCACAUGUUUGUGCACUUUAUGUAUAAAUUAUGUUAUAUUAUAUUAUAUUAUCCCUUGUAGUUCUGUGUUGUUCUGUGUUUGUCUUAUGUAGCACCUUGGUCCUGGAGAAAUGUUUCGUUUCACUAUGUACUUGUAUAUGGUUGAAAUGACAAUAAACUCCACUUGAAAUUGAAAUUGAUCAGAAUGAGUCAUAAAAUUUUUUCCACUACUUUCCCACUACCUCUCAGGGGCGACAGGCUACCGUUACAUACUAACUGUUUCUAUAUUAGGCUUAUACUGUUCACAUUUUCCAGGUCUAGGACAAGUUCUUGUCUGGCUACCCCCCAGUCCCCAGAGCCCCAGAGCACUUCCUCCAGAACACUGGACUAGUGGACGAUGGUGUUGUUGGAAGCAUUCUUGGUGCUGCUGCUUGUGUUUUUUUUUCCUGGUCAUUAUGAGGUGAAAGAGCUUUGAAAAGUAGGUCACUCAUAUAGCUCUCACUUAUUCUUUAAAUGCUUAGUUGUCUGUUGUAAAAGAAAUUGUUAAAAUAAACUUUGUAAUUAAUCUUUUAAUGUGUCGUGAUUAUGCGUACAGAUGGGUUCAGGAUAGAAGAGAUCCCUGGUGCAGAUGUGACUAGAGUCUAGCAAGGCAGGCCACCCGAGUCUAAAGCGCUGGAGAAAAUGCUGUGUUACUCAGGAUGACUCAUUUGCAUAGGUCUGGCAUUAAAUGCUCCUACAUAUGCCUGAGUGCUUGACUGGGUGUGUGAACUUUUAUUUAACAGCUGUUCUGUAAACUGCAGUAUGAGGACCAUCUGUGUUUUUUAAAAUAAAUUCAACUGUUGUGUCUUUUAAUUUUCACCCAUCACUAUACCUGAGGUUUACUGCAUUGGCAUAAGAGCUUCUUUCAGUGCUUCUUUCAUUCUUCCUUAUUUAUUUUUUUUUUACCAGCCUUGUUUCUACUAAUAAUACAAGAUGGGUAUAGAUAUACGCAAUGUUUGCAAAUGUUUUGCAAAAUUGCAAACUUUAUUUCUGAGGCAAUAAUUUGAAUGAGAAAAGUACAGACUGAUACUGUGUGAUUAUAUGAAAUAAUGUCACAUACUGUGUGUUCCAAACUAAAACGUUCAUGUUGUUCAUUAAACAUGCAUAAACAACACACCAUACCUUACACCAUAUCACAUAAAAUGCCAAAAAUGCCAAAAACAUACUACACAUCAUUGUGUCACAGCAGGGCUGUGGGUAUAAUUAGAUUAAAAUAAGUCAAAACUCUAAACAAAUUCUUCUGCAAAGCAAACAUCAGGCAACAUCUUUCACCCUGACUGGACUGCAUGACUCCACUUCAUGACCCAUCUAUAAAACCACUACACCAGCUGACACUUUACUUACAUUAACAAAUCAAAGUAAAGACAAGGUGAACAUGUCCUGUUCGAAAGUAAGCUUACAGAUGAGCUUUUCCUUCCUUUGUUAGUUGAAAAUUGCAAAAAAGGCAUGAUCAAAUUUGACAUUUCUAUCAGUGUAAGAAUCUGUACUGAAAAAUUAAUAAUUGCUGAAUUAGAAAUUAUAACACAGAGAUUAUUCUCAUUCCUGGGCUACUCUGAGACAAAUCAGUAGUGAAGUCUAACAGGAAGCUGCAGUGUCAAAUACAAAACUGUCAUUAAACCACUUUGCUCCAUAUGUAUUUUACUGUAUUUCAUAUUUCAUUACACACUGUUUGUCUAAAGUGAAUGCAUUUCAUUGGAAAUCUUAUUGAAUAUUAAAUGAACAUUUGUACCUGUAAAGUCUCUGAGCUUAUCCUGAGCUGAGCGUAUUACAGUAAUGUUGACCGGAAAACUUAAUUUUGGUCAAAACCUAAUAUUGUGGAUAUUAAUUGGAUAUGUUUGGCUAUUCAGCCACAGAAACACCUUUUUUUUUUUUAAAUAUGUCUCCUAUCACACGACAGCUACCAACCAGGCAAUCAUAUGCUUCCUCCGGGAAACGUGAACCCAGCAAACCACACCUUUUACUAGCUGCUGCUCAUGCCUAGGCAUAACGUACUCAAAGAAAAGGGAUUAAUGCCACCCCUCCCACUCAGAGACCAUGGCCAGUUUUGCUUUCUUGGCCCCCCAGCCAUGGAUGGCUGUGACAUUGUCAGGAUUCAAACUCAUGAUCAAGACAAGACACUACAUGGUGGCAAAAAUCCUUCUCAUGAUUGACAAUACUAAGUCAAUCCCUCGCAGCAGAUGGCCCACUGUAGCAUUAUUAAAAAAAAAUUAAUUAAAAAAGACUCAGCUAUGUCAAGCGUGUUUUAGAUUUUCAAGCCAUUUGGAAUUUAAAUGGUCCAAAUGGGGCCUAAAAUGGUCCACAUGGAUCAGGUCAUCCCCGAAGAUUGUAAAGUAUUUCAUAUUUGGGUCCAAAUGCUAGUUCAUAUACACAUCAUACCAGUGAAGCGUACCCAUGAAGGUUAAGUUAUCUUUAACGGCAGUCAGAUUUAAGACAUUUCCUCACAUUCCACAGACUGAGAGUGCAUUUCUGAAAUAUAGGAAAGUGCAUUGCUGACAUAUGCAAAAUACAAUGGUAUGACAUUUAACAGGUUAGAAAACUAUAAAUUAAUGUACUAUAAAUGCAAACAAAUACAAAUCAUCUUUACAUUCAUUCUUUUUUCAGUUACAUAUGAAAUAGCUCCUUUUUACUUACAAAUGAAGCAUAAAUUAGAAACUACUUACCUUCAAUUUUUUAACUGAAGACUGUGAAAAAAGGUUUAUGAGUGUGGUUGGUUAGACUGAUUACUAGUUUCUCUGUGCCCUAGGGCUACCAAAUGCAAAAAAAUUGCAUUCGAAUUUCAGUUAUAAAACAUUUUAAUGCAUUUGAAUAUUAAUGAGCCUGAAAUUACACUUACACUUCCAGUUUGUAUGGCCUAAGACACAGUGUCUAUUGUGAUAGUGGAAAUUGCCUGUUUUUUAUCAGUAAUAUAUAGUUUGCUUUUACAUUUCAUAAGCUACACCGCCUUCAUUCUCACUCAACAUGAUAUGACGUGAUCAUGUUGUAUAUUAUUAUAGUGUUGUAUAUUAUCAUUAUAUGCUAAUAAAACACAAUUUAAGAAAAAUCAAAUACAUACUAUACUGUAUACUGCCACUGGUCACUUGCGUGGGCCGUUUUUACUUUCAUGUGAACUGGAGCAGGUUUUUGGGGUUUUUUUAACCACGUUUAUUCAUUCAUCUUCAGUAAAUAAAUGCUUUGUCCUGCUCAGGGUCCUUGUGGCUUAAAUUAUGUAUUUGUCUAUAUAGUAGAACAAGAACCAACUGAUUUCAUUAGAAAAAUAUAUUGCAGGUGGGUACAAAGAAUUACUGUAACGAAUAAUCCUAUUUUGUAUUUCAUAAACAAAUCACCUGCAAAAACAAACUCAUUUACCGAUCAGACCUUAAAGUAUUAUACACUUCAUUACAAGCACAGCGUUCCUACGCAAGUUUCUUACAUAAAAAACUAAAUAUAGGUUAAACGACUGAUCAUGAUGCAAACAUUUGAAAUGCCUCAUGUCUUGGUGUAAGAGAAAUAAAGCACUGAGCAUCUGGGAUCAUUUUGAACUUUUGACCAAAAUCCUGUGAGCAGAGGCUAAUAAUCCACAAAUAAUUAUUUCUGUGCAGAUUUUAAGAAAUAAUGGUGGUAGUGAAUCACUUUAAUCUUGCUGAAAAAGGCAAUUUUAAAAAAGCUUCUUUUGCCUGAAAACAUUAUAGCUUUGUCAUUAAAGCUUUGUACUGUCCACCAAAUACCAUGCAAAUAAAUACCAUACCAAUGACUAAGAAUCUUUGUGUUUCCAGAUAUGUUUCCAGAAAAUUCGAAAGUUCAAGUACUUUUCUCCUCUGAUCAGCAUAUGAAGCGACAAAGCUUUGCGAUUUAAAUUAGAAGCCUUUUUAAUUUGAAUGACUUUUGAGGACUCCCCAGUUUUGUGAAGAUAUGCCAAAAAUCUGGUGACGAGUUAGCAAAAGUAUGCAGAUCAGCAAAAAAUAUAUCAUGGCAAAAAAUUAGUAGUGUGUGCAUGAAUGGUUUCUUUUCACCAAACCAAACACAUGCUUCUUCUAUAUUUAGGUUUUACAGUCGUUCAAUGACAUGACCUGAUCUGAGAUGACAAACUCAUCACUACAAAAACAGAAGCAUUUUAAAAUUAGCAUUUUAAAAUACAAACUGGCAGGCUACACAGUGUGUUGGACUUUUCCCCCCCUUGUUCCUAUAGGAAAUGUGUCGAUCGAGACCCUGACACUACACAGAUUGGCUUUUACCGGGUUAGUAAUUAAGCCCUAAUUAGUCAAGCUUUAACUAUCACUUUACUGCAGUGACAAUAAUUCCACUCCUUUUAAUGUUUUACACUGGACAGGGAAGCUCCAUUUCUAUACAGAAUCUGUAUAUGGACGUUUUUCUAUAAACCUAAGAGCAAAAUGUUGUUCUAAAAUAAUCAUGUAAAUGGUUUUCAUGGUAAAUUUAAAGGCUACACAGUUAAUUGGAUUUUAAUUGUUUAAUUUUUUUGUGUUAAGUACUGCAUUUUUUCUAAUAUGUGUAUUUGAAGGCAAAAGUCCAAAUUCAACAAAAACAAGCAUUAUCAGAGCUCAUUUAGCAGAUUUAUCUUAAAUUGUGCUGUAUUUAGUAUAUAGUGGACUACUGAGGUACUACAGCAUUAUUAUGUCAUAUCAUGUAGUGAGAAUGAAGACGGUGUAGCUUAUGAAAUACAAAAUCAAGCUAAGUAUUACUGACACAAAAACAUUCCUUUUUGUAAAUAAAUAGAAACGAAUCUAAAGCCUUCAAGUUUAAAAUAUAACUGAAAAUAAAGAAUGUUGAGAUAACUUUUUGUAUUAAUUUUUACUUGUAGUCCAUUUAUUUAUAGUUUUUUCCUUUAGCUUUCUAUACACCAAAUAAUUGCAUAUUGCAUAUAUCAGUAUAAAAUAUGCACUCUCUCAUAUUUUACCUUAUGAAAUUAUUGCUAGAACUUACCACUCAUCAAGGAUAAGCUGCAUUCACCUUAUCAUAUCAUCAUGGAAUGACUGUGAUGAACUUAUUUAAAUCUGGCUGCCAUUUAACACAACUUAUGCUUGAUAAGUCCAAAUCACUGGUAUGAUAUGCACAUAAACUAGCAGUUGAGCCCAAAAAAGUUUCACAAUCAUUAGGUAUGAUCAGAUCCAUUUAAACCAUUUUAAGCUCAGAUUCCAAAUACCAUGAAAACCCACAAUACUCUUGUCGUUGCCAUAAUGGACUCUUUUGUACCUUAACUAUCCUAUAGUGGUCCCUCUGCUACCCGAGAUAAACUAAAAUCAUUAUUGCAUGAUUGACAAUCACAUUUUUUUUUUUUACAGGUUUUGCCACAUGUAGUGCCUUCAGGAUGUACAAGUUUUUUUUUAAGAAUACAAGAACCAUAUGAGUUGUGGCCUGGAAUAAAAUAUAUUCCACCACAGUGCCGCAGACUUGUUUUCAUUUAGGACACUUUCUUGCCCUGGCUGUCUGUCAGUUAGUUGAGUAAGGAGCCAGUUUAACAAACACAAGAGUAAAUGCAGUCUGCCUAAAAUAGUCUGCUACAUAAGCACAAUCUCAUGCAAUGAAUUUUACACUUUGAUCAAGUUAUUGGAAAUUAGAUGCUAGAGCAAAAUGAACAUACGCAUAUCAAUUCAGUUUGUAAUCAGAUACCAUCUUUCAAAAUGUCAGUGAUGCAUCUGUAAUAUCAUCAAAAUAGAAAAGCACUUUAAUACACUCUGCAUGUUAAAAUAGCCUAAUAAAAAGAUGGGAAAUUUUGCCAACUCUCUGAUUUAAUCAGCAGUUAUUCCAGCACUAGUCAUAAAAAGAACAAUAAUCAGACAGUAUUUUGAUAAUCUGAUCAUCAGAGUGGUAACUACUUCCCAGUCUAAACUUGUAAGUCUUUAAAAUUUGGCAGUAAUACUGCUUUACAAAUCUACAGUUAUCAGAACUAUACAUAGUAGAUAUUUUUAAAAUUUCAUCAUGUGAAGGGUUUUCCCAGGCUGUCUCACAUGUUCACUUUACCCCAUAAUGUCCUGUAGGUUCCUUUGAAAGAAAAAGCUAUAAACAAAUACAGCUGUGUAGUGUCAGCAUAAUCACUCUCACACACUCACUCGCUCACACACACACACAGACAUUCACUUAAUUCUCAACUAAUUCACCGUUUCAGUCAUUUGGCUCCAGCUUUUGGCUUUUUCAGGUGCUAGAUAAUAUAUUUAGAGAAUGUUUUUUGACUCUUACUCAUUAUCUCAGCUCUGUGAGCUUUGCACUUUAUGGAGUUUUGUGGGUGUCACCAAAUACACUAACUUACCCAACUCCAGGGUCCCUGGUUUGAUCCUGAGUUUGUUUUACUUUCUGUGUGGAGUUUCUGUGCAUGUUCUCUCCAUGUUCAUGUGGGUUUCCUCCAGGAUCUCUGGUUUUCCACUUAAAACAUGCCAGUAGAUAAAUUGGCCCUAGGUGUUAAUGUGCAUGUGAAUGCUUCCAAACUACCAGAUACCACAGAUGUAGCCAUAAAAUCUAAAAACUACAAAAUUUAAAAUCUAGUUUGUGCAACAGUAACUUCAUUAUACUGAAUUCAAAAUUUUUUCUACACACACUUUGAUAAAUGACAUCCCUGGCCUCAUUUGACCCCCACUGUUCACUUGAGGGUUACUCUUCCCUACUACUGUAUUUUUCCAUACAAAAGGUAUUAAUUACUUGGGACGUGAUCUGGAACAUCAUGGCAAGACAAAUUCGUAACCUGGCAAACAAACAAAAAAACUUUAUCUAUAUAGUAUAAAAUUCUCAUUUUUAUUUUUUCUCAUUCAGGUGCCUACUAUAAAAUCUGUCCUAAUACCUAACUAGAUAAAUAAACAUGACUACCACUGCACUCUUACUACUGAACCUGAUGUUAGGUUUAAGCAUAAUUAAAUAUUUAAGCUUAUUAGCAAUUUACUAAGACUUGUGACAACUCUAAUCCCUCCCCCACCUUUUUCUUUUUCUUUUUUUUUUUUAAAUAAAUCUCAGGGAUAGAAAGAAACUCCUACAAAAGGCGAUGGAGGUGAACUCUGAGUAAAUGAGAUGGUUCUACAUAAAAGUGUGAAGAUAAAAGUUAACAUUUGACGUCUACAAAUCUAAAAUCUGUAAUACCAGCUAGAUAAAGAAACUACAGACUGACUGGUGAAACUAUUGUUAUGUGUAAGCGUAGUGAAGUAAUGAACAUUAAAAGCUGACUUGGGACGGUUUAACCUGCCGGAGCGUGGGAGAGAAGAAGCAGCGAGCUGGCGAGACGUGGGCAGAAUUAAUAAACACACACACACACACACACACACACACACACACACACACAAUUUUAAUUCAAAUAAUCUCAGCACUGUUACCAGAAACGCUUAUGGCUUAGCUCUGUAUUACACAGCCUACUAUAUAAGGCGUACAACGUUCUAGAACACUAAAAACCGACCAAUAGGAACAGUUAAGACGUCACCGGGGCUCAGUCGCCCUAACAACACAACACUUCCCAUUAGACUGUAAGUCAGUGCAAGGAAUAUGGGGCUAGUGCAUUGCUGUAGCUAACUAGCUUCCUGACGUUAGACAAAGAGAAGGGGCUCAAAGGUAUUUGGACAAAGUGACUGACAAGAAGUUAAUUGACCAGGUGCGGUCCAUUCCCUCAUUACUUCAAGACAAAUGAUGCAGAUAAAAGGUCUGGAGUUGAUAUCCGGACCUGACUGUACAUACAUACACACACACCCACACACACACACCCACACACACACAUAUAUAUAUAUAUAUAUAUAUAUAUAUAUAUAUAUAUAUAUAUAUAUAUAUAUAUAUAUAUAUGUAAGCAGUGAUUAUGUUCAAAAACAUUCAGAUAGACUAAUCUGUGUGUAGUUUUCAUUGAGAUACAGCCUAAUUUCCCACUUGCUGUAAUGUGAUCUUAUUUUCAUGCCUGUAUUAGAGCUAUAUGUGGUCUGAAACAGAUGUCCAUCUUGGGAUAAACAUGGACCAAAUCAGACAGACUAAACAAAGCCCAAUUUUCAGUGACUAUCUGUGGGCUAAAUAAAGGCCAUGACACUGAUGUGAACGCAGAAGUGUGGGAGCUGGACAACUUCCAAAUAUAUUACAUAGUGGAUAUCACCCAGGAUCCAUUAGAAGGAAGUGUUCAAUCAUUACCCGUAAAUCAUUACUGUAUUUCACUUUUCAUAUUCGUAAUAGUCAAUGUAAACAUUUAAACCUAAAGAUGUUUUCGUCAUUUCUUAGUGUAAUUCUGUAGAUGUAUCCAAGAUUGGCACCACAAGUGGCCUGCUGACACUUCCUGAGGAAAAGGCCCCUACAAUCCUUAGAGAACAUGAAGAGGCAAAGAGACUAUUUCCUCACGGAAGCUGCUUGUUAAAGUCGCUGUCAGAGACCUUGUAGAGAAACAUGGGUUAAAAGCUGGCACUAGCAAAGGAGAUUGUGUCAUUGUUCCCCUUAUUAAGGAUUAAAGUCCCAUUUGGCGAAAAUAAGGGACAUAUGAGCUGUGCUACACUAUGUUAAAUAUCCUCAUUCAUCUGCAUCUGGGAGAAGUGUUGCCAGCAGUAAAUGCUGUGUGAAAUCUGCUGUCUCAUACCUGUUGGAGUUGGUGACAGCUGGUACCAGCGUGACCUCCUUGCUCAGUGAAUCUAUGAAAGGGUCUCUGAAGUCAACUCAGCCGCAGUUAGUUUCCAUCAGUUCUCUAGGACAUGGAGCCCGUAUAUAUAUAGCAGGGCUUGUUGCUGCAGGCUCACUUGGAGAAGUUGUUGAAGUGUGGCUUCCAUCAUGCUGCUUCAGCAGCAGUCCUACCAGAUCCAUGCCGAUCCUCUCGAAGGGGACGCCAAUAAUGGGGAGAGG